rnacentral:snoRNA from 1 species
CUGGAAUGAUGAUGCUUAGCCAAAUCAGAUAUGUGCUCCAAGAGGCAUUUUUCUGUUGAACCUUGAGUUCAGCAGAUGGUGCCUCUUGUUGUAGUGCGUCUUAGACGAUAUCACAGGGAAUGGUUUUGCCUGACCAGA